ACUUCAGUGGUGCAUGUACUAAUUAAUAUUGGAGCAACAUAGAGAAGAUUAGUACAGCCCUUUGCAAUGAUGACAUUCAAGUCCAUGAAGCAUUCUAUAUUUUA